rnacentral:lncRNA from 1 species
CCUGGGUUCAAGUGAUUCUCAUACGUCAGCCUCGGGGCGAGCACGGUUCUCUUUUCGGAGGAGGAAACAGAGAGGGAGAUUCCCAGGGGUCAGCGGCUGCACCGGGACUCAACUCUGGCCUGUCCAGCCCCCAGGCCGCACUCUCAGCCCCGCGGGUCCCAGAGGCCCGGGCCAGGCACGGAGCCUGCAGGUGGACAGGGCGGGCAGAGGGUGGGGCUGGCGCCCAGGGGUGGUCGCGGCCGCCUCACCUUCUCGCUGCUGCUGCUGCAGGAGGGGCGGCGGCUGGGGGACGCUGUGCGCGAUGGGCGUGAUGGCCGCGGUGGGGUACAUGGCUGCGGAGACCGGAGCGAGACACAGGGCGAGGAGGGGCGUGAGGCCACGUGGGCGGCCUGGGCCGCUGGGCGGGGAGGGGGCGGGGCCAUAAGAGGGUGGGGCCAAGGCAGGAGUGGGUGUGAUCAUGGCCUUUGUGGGGAGGGUUUGGGGGCAGGGCCAGGCCAGAGGGCGGGGCCAGAUCACAGACGAAAUGGGG